UCCUGCACUUCUGCUUCUUCCCUCUGUCGGCACGCGUAACGCUCUCUCUCUAUUUCAUUAGAUCUGAAAACUUUCUAUUAGAGUUACAGCAACUCCCUUUAUUCGUCCCUGAAUAAUCACUAUCGAAUGCUUAACUUUUUUAUUGAUUAAUUACAACUAGUGAAUCGCCGCGAUAUUUUCUAUAAUCCGAGAGCAUUCUACGGAUAUCUGCAAUAUCCAUGAAUUCUAGGAGGUCUUUUUGCAAUAUUUUCUUUUUGUUUUUAUUCUGCGCCAAUUAGGCCAUAACCUUUGACUCACUUUAUUGUACAAGAACUAGAAGUUCCUAUAAUUUAUGAAUUGAGGUUGGAGAAAUAUUGCUAGUAAUGUUGAUUAAUUAUAUUCGUCUGUAAUUGAUUGCUUCUAUAAGCUGUAUAAAGUAUAACUGUAAUUGAUUGCUUCUAUAAGCUGUAAAAAGUAUAAGUGUGAUUACAAAGAAAAUCAAUAAUUAUGACUAUGGUUAUAAUGCUAAAUCCCACAAUAAGUAAAUAGAAAUGAAAUAAAGAAAAGAAAAGGUUAGAACCCCAGAUUUUGGUUUGUAGGUCAUUAGACGCCUAAAAUGUCUGCUAUGCUGUUGAGAUGUGGUCAUGCCAAAUGUAGCUUUUUUGAAAAUCUAUACUUGCUUUUGGCUGUAGAUUAAAUAUCUUAUCCUAAUCUGAUCCCAUCAUACCCCCAAUCAUAGAGUAAUCUAUAGUGACUCUUUUACUUACACUCCACCAAAGUAAUUUAAAAAAGGACUACCAUGAAGAAUGAAUUUUCACUUGUUUUCGAAAUGGGGAAAAAUUGACAAGAGUAUGUUCCAUCAGAAUUUCGAAAUCUAAAAUUGAACCUUAUGAUAUGACAUAUGGUGCCUCUAACAUCGGCAUCUUGAUCUUAAGAAGGAAGAGUGCAUAAACGGGUAGUCACCCAACAUGCAAAUGCCCCGGAGCAUUGAACUUCAGUAAUUGACUGAGGGUCAGAGUGCAUAAGAUUUUUUAGUAAUUAUUUUUAAAAUUAAUAUUUGUUUUCUAUCAGAAUUUACUUUUAUUCCAUCAAAUUCAUUACUGUCUCUUAGUCUCUACCUGUCAUACCACUCACAAUGAUCCUGAAUUCGGGGACCAUAAUGCUAGGGCUGCUCUGUUUGAUGGUAUAGAGGAAAGUGGUAUAAGGGCUUCAUCUUUGUAUUCCUCUCAUGAAAUUGAUGGGCAAGAGAAUGAUAGGGCAGUUGAUGGAUUGCAAGAUCGAGUUAAUCUACUGAAAAGACUGUCAGGUGAUAUACACAAGGAGGUUGAGACUCGUAACCGAAUAUUGGACCGAAUGGUGUGAUAUUAUUGAAUAUAUCUCCCACAAACCAGAUGUGUAUAAUCAUCAUCAAUUAUGGUUAAGUACUGCUCGAUGACUUCCAACUUUUUGCCCUUAGGGCCAUGACAUGGAUAGUUCAAGAGGAGUUUUAUCCGGAACCAUGGAUAAAUUUAAGAUGGUAUUUAUGACCUUUAUUCUGUUAUGCUACUCUCUUUUACUUGAAUAUUUACUUUCCUAUAAUUUGACUUCUUACUUGCUUCGGGUGUUCGAAACCAAAUCAAACCGCAGGAUGUUUUCUCUCGUGGCAUCUUUUGUGGUUAUUUUCCUUGUCGUAAACUAUCUUAUUAGGUAAGAGAUUACAUAAAUUGGCAAAGAACUUGAGGAUGCUCAAUGUCGUUACACGGCUGUGAGAUGCCAUAGCAAUCUUGUUUUUGUAGAGAUGUUUCGGAAUGCAACAUGCACUUGAAUGUAUGCGAUGGACAGAAAGACAUUUUAAUAUAUCUUUUGGAAAACGUGUGAUUGUUCAA